rnacentral:lncRNA from 1 species
AUCUGUUUCCUGCUGGGUCAGGGGUGGCGCCAGCCAAAAUUCCAAAGGAAAAGAUCUUACUAAUCCUCCUGUCCCUCUACUGAAACACUCGUUACCACCCUGAUGAGAUGCUCUAACGCCUCUUAAGUAUAGUGCCUUGUGCAGCGCUAUGGAGGUAGAAGUGAGCCUGCCUAGCAGACGCCGAGGCAGGAGAGAGAAAGGAUGAUUGGUCCCUGGUGCUGUGAGAUUUCUUUUUGGAGUGUGAGAAUGUUCUGGAAUUAGACAGUGACAAUGAUUGUACAACCUGUGACUGUACCAAGAGUCACUGAAUGUUAUAUUUAAGUCACGUUUCCAUUCUUAUGUCUCAAGCACUUUUGAGUCAGAAUCUCCUCUUCUAUUCCAGGCUGGUCUUGAACUCACGAACCUCAUUCUUUUCUUAUGAAGACAUUUGAAGCUUCACCCUUUGUCAUUCUAAGAGAGAGGCUGGGGAAGGAUCAAGCUGUCAAGAGUACUUGUUGCUCUUGGUGUAGACCUGGAUUUGAUUUUCAGCACCCCUAUGAUAAAGCAUGAACAGCCAUGAGUUUAGUUCCAGGGGAUCUGAUGCCCUCUUCUGACCUCUGGGCACCAGGCAUACAUGUGAUGCGGCGCUCAUGUACAAGCCUAUAUAAAUCACUUGGACACAUAAAAACUUUUUUUUUUAAAGACCAAAAGAUCAAAGUUACCAAAGAAAAGGAGGCUUGAGGGAUUGAGUCAGCUUUCCAUCUCUUCCUCAGGCUCCUGAGAAGCCUUCAGUGAGAGAUUGUUAAGCUCACCGUUCUUAACUGGCCUGUCAAGCAGGCGUGAUAGCCAUUCACAGAUGUAAAAGAAGAGCCAAGAGAUGCGCUGGUGGGAGCUGCAGUGUCAGAUUUGGAACCUGCCCCUUCUGGGGUGACAAGUUCCUCAUACCUUAGAUGAUCAAGGGCCCAGUCCACUCCCAGAGGUCACACCUGCUCCCCACACCUCUGCAUUCAGCUACCUCCACCCCUGUUACAACUGUGUGCUGCCGAGCCAAAGCCUGUUUGUUUUUCUUAUUUUUGAGACAGGGUCUUGCUGUGUAGCCCACACUAACAUCAGACCUGCAUUCCUUCUUAACAAAUGUGUUCCACCACACUGGGAUCCAGCAGUUCUACUUUAAGAAGGAAUCACUGCCUUCCAGACUCCCAAACAGGGCCAGAAAUGAGCGGUUUUGGCUACCAAACAGGAAACUCAGAGCCCUUUCCGUUUCUUUGAGCUGGCUGGAAGGGCUGGGCCUGCAACUAGUACUGUACUAGGAUAGGAGGAAAGUUUUGUAUGGCUUGAAAGAAAACCAAAGAAAACC